rnacentral:rRNA from 1 species
AUUGAACGCUGGCGGCAGGCCUAACACAUGCAAGUCGAACGGUAACAGGAAGAAGCUUGCUUCUUUGCUGACGAGUGGCGGACGGGUGAGUAAUGUCUGGGAAACUGCCUGAUGGAGGGGGAUAACUACUGGAAACGGUAGCUAAUACCGCAUAAUGUCGCAAGACCAAAGAGGGGGACCUUCGGGCCUCUUGCCAUCGGAUGUGCCCAGAUGGGAUUAGCUAGUAGGUGGGGUAACGGCUCACCUAGGCGACGAUCCCUAGCUGGUCUGAGAGGAUGACCAGCCACACUGGAACUGAGACACGGUCCAGACUCCUACGGGAGGCAGCAGUGGGGAAUAUUGCACAAUGGGCGCAAGCCUGAUGCAGCUAUGCUGCGUGUAUGAAGAAGGCCUUCGGGUUGUAAAGUACUUUCAGCGGGGAGGAAGGGAGUAAAGUUAAUACCUUUGCUCAUUGACGUUACCCGCAGAAGAAGCACCGGCUAACUCCGUG